UACGAAGGGGGCAAGCGUUGCUCGGAAUUACUGGGCGUAAAGGGCGCGUAGGCGGCCUGUUAAGUCGGACGUGAAAUCCCCGGGCUCAACCCGGGAACUGCGUCCGAUACUGGCAGGCUUGAAUCCGGGAGAGGGAUGCGGAAUUCCAGGUGUAGCGGUGAAAUGCGUAGAUAUCAGGAGGAACACCGAUGGCGAAGGCAGGUCUCUGGGCAUUAACUGACGCUGAGGAGCGAAAGCAUGGGGAGCGAACAGG
rnacentral:rRNA from 1 species